rnacentral:rRNA from 1 species
AGAAGCUACCAUCUGUAGGAUGACUGAACGCCUCUAAGUCAGAAUCCAUGCUAGAAAGCGACAACGCUCGCCCGACCACAAGCGUAGCAAUAGGCCGCAAGGCCCAGCACCGCAGCAUGAUGGCACACCCCCGCGGAGAACAGCCGACGGGGGGCGUUCAUCGGAACUCAACUCGAAACUUGGGCGGCACAGAUCCUUUGCAGACGACUUAACACGCAACGGGGUAUUGUAAGCAGUAGAGUAGCCUUGUU